GCCGGAAUAGCUUAGUUGGGAGAGCGUUAGUAUGAAGUUGUUUACGCAACAGUCAUCUAAAGGCCCCCGGUUCAAUCCCGGGUUCCGGCA
rnacentral:tRNA from 1 species